rnacentral:rRNA from 1 species
UCGAGAAUUUUUCUCAAUGGGCGAAAGCCUGAAGGAGCGACGCCGCGUGGGGGAUGAAGGGCUUCGGCUCGUAAACCCCUGUCAUUUGCGAACAAACCUUACGAUCUAAUAAGUCGUGAGCUGAUUGUAGCGAAAGAGGAAGGGACGGCUAACUCUGUGCCAGCAGCCGCGGUAAUACAGAGGUCCCAAGCGUUGUUCGGAUUCACUGGGCGUAAAGGGUGCGUAGGUGGCAAGGUAAGUUUGAUGUGAAAUCUCCGGGCUUAACCCGGAAACUGCAUUGAAUACUAUCUUGCUCGAGGAUUGGAGGGGGGACUGGAAUACUUGGUGUAGCAGUGAAAUGCGUAGAUAUCAAGUGGAACACCAGUGGCGAAGGCGAGUCCCUGGACAACUCCUGACACUGAGGCACGAAAGCUAGGGGAGCAAACAGGAUUAGAUACCCCCGUAGUCC